CCGACGACAGGGGCAGUUUAGACUAGAGAGUUAAAGGUAAUACACGGGCCGGCGCACAUCAUUGUCCAGUCCCCAACUCCCUAAAAGAUUCCGCCCAUGUGUUUAAAAUGUUUAAAAUGUUUAUUAUAUAGCACCUUUACCCAGGACCAUAGCACAUUUGCUGGGCAGGAGAGCUCCAUAGCUUAGGCCUGGUUCUACCGGCAGAACCAGCGGGCAGAUGCGGAGGACCUUUACACAGGACCAUAGCACAUUUGCUGGGCAGGAGAGCUCCAUAGCUUAGGCCUGGUUCUACCGGCAGAACGAGAAAACUUAACACUAAACCUUUAUUUAACAGGACCUCCAAAAGGGAUCCACAGGCCCGGUUCCCAGUGUGGACGUUGAUGCUCUGGUGAGGAGUGAAUCUUCCUCUCCUGAUGAAGAACCGCAGCACAUCAACAGACCUAAGUCAAAGGGGGAAAGCCAGAGCACCCUCUGUUUGGCGAAGGCGUACCCCAAAUUCCCACUAAGCAUCUUGGAAUACAACGCCGAAUAUUGGCAGCACCUCAAGGGCUCCCGUGGUCUGAGGAAAAGGAUCGAAAAUCAAAGAUCCAAAGUGGGUAGAAUCAUGGCCUUCCUGUCGUUUAUAACUAAUGGGCAGACAAUCCUCCAGAAUUGGACUUUCCUUCCAAAUAUGUCCAGGAUAUACCAGUGGCCAGAACAUCUGCUAAAUGAGGGAAAGGCUGAGAACACAGUGAAAACCUACCUGGUGAAUUUGUCCCAGUUCCUGACCUACUUCUGGGACACCCCUCCCUCCUCAUCCAGGGUUCUUCGGGUACCUCAGUGUUUAUCUAGCAAGCCUCUAUGGACACCGGACCGGUGUUCUAAAGAACAUGACUGUGGCGGAGGUUGACGAGGCCCAGCAGGAAGCCACAGUCGGGCAAGUGGGCUUUGUGA